rnacentral:rRNA from 1 species
UCUAUUCAGAGGAACCUGCUUCUAUAAUUGAUAAUCCACGAUUUAAUUUACUUGCUUUAUUAAUUUAUAUAUCGUCGUAGUUUGAAUAUUUUACUGUUGUUCCUGUGCCCCUUUUAUUCUUCCUCGUAAACUACACCUUGCUCUGAUUUUUUUUAUUAUUAAAAAUCUUGAAUAUUAAAAUUCUACUAAAAUAUUCAAAGCUAGCGGACGGAUAUAUAAAUUAAUAAAGGCAAGUAAAUUAAUUAGUUA